GUGGGUAUAGCUCAGUGGUAGAGUGGGUGCUUAGCAUAUAUGAGGUCCUGGGUUCAAUCCCCAUUACCUCCA
rnacentral:tRNA from 1 species